rnacentral:rRNA from 1 species
GACGAACGCUGGCGGCGUGCUUAACACAUGCAAGUCGAACGGAAAGGCCCUGCUUUUGUGGGGUGCUCGAGUGGCGAACGGGUGAGUAACACGUGAGUAACCUGCCCUUGACUUUGGGAUAACUUCAGGAAACUGGGGCUAAUACCGGAUAGGAGCUCCUGCUGCAUGGUGGGGGUUGGAAAGUUUCGGCGGUUGGGGAUGGACUCGCGGCUUAUCAGCUUGUUGGUGGGGUAGUGGCUUACCAAGGCUUUGACGGGUAGCCGGCCUGGGAGGGUGACCGGCCACAUGGGGACUGAGAGACGGCCCAGACGCCUACGGGAGGCAGAAGUGGGGAGUAUUGCACAAUGGGCGGAAGCCUGAUGCAGCAACGCCGCGUGCGGGAUGACGGCUUUCGGGUUGUAAACCGCUUUCGCCUGAGACGAAGCGGGAGUGACGGUAAUGAGUAAAGAAGCACCGGCUAACUACGUG